UAAAAUCACAAUGAUCCAACAUAGCACAAUCGAUCUGGAACAUGGAUGGCAUUCAUGCAAUGGGGCAUCACAAAGCUGAAGAAUAUUCGAGAAGGGCCGCCUCAGCUCAGAGGACUAUAUGAAGCUGUAUACACAUCCAUUUAGACUCCCACACUAAGUCCCCACAUGAUUAUUCUCAACAGCUGUAUGACAAAUAUCGUGAAGCUUUUGAAGAAUAUAUCACAACAACG